CUGAGAAUGGCGCUCGCGCCCCUCAAACCAAUGCGUACCUAUCCUGUCUCUUGCGGGUUGGAACUCGUUUCCGCCCGCGAGCACCAAAACAGUCGUUUGAUGUUGUCAGAUUCUAGUUAAAAAAAA
rnacentral:misc_RNA from 1 species